UACGUAGGUGGCGAGCGUUGUUCGGAAUCAUUGGGCGUAAAGGGCGCGUAGGUGGUUCUGUAUGUCUACCGUGAAAGCAUACAGCUCAACUGUAUUUUGUCGGUAGAAACUGCAGGACUUGAGGCUGGGAGGGGCUGGUGGAAUUCCCUGUGUAGCGGUGAAAUGCGUAGAGAUGGGGGAGAACACUCGUGGCGAAGGCGGCCAGCUAGACCAGUUCUGACACUGAGGCGCGACAGCGUGGGGAGCAAACAGG
rnacentral:rRNA from 1 species